AGCCAAGCACAGACUCAUGUAGCAUAAGUGCUCAGUAAGUGCCCACGGACUUGGCUAAUGGAUGGACUUGGAGGGGACAUUGCCGGAUCAGAGCCGUGGACACUGCCAGAAUUUGUCAAAGGUCCUAGGAAGAAAAAGCCCUUGCACCCCUCUCCUCAGUGAGCACACAGUGUGUUUGGGCUGUUCACAUUCGCUCCUCAUAGAGUAUCAUUCUGUCGCCAGGCAGUGGUGCAAUCUCAGCUCCCUGCAACCUCUGCCUCACAGAUUCAAGUGCUUCUCCUGCCUCAGCCUCCCAAGUAGCUGGGACUACAGCUCUGGUUUCUCUGUUCAUCCAAGAAGAAGAAAGGGCUCCAAAAGGCUUUAGGGAUGGGGAGUGGGAAGGACCACCUGCAGCCUGCUCCCUCCCUGUGGACGUCUCACCAGCCUUGUGGACGGUUGUCUUCUGUGGGGCUUCUUCCGCCUAACUCUUCAGAAGGGAUUUGAAGGUCUUCUCCCAACUGCACUCCCCCUUCCCCUUUCAGAAAAUCCCGUUACUUAGAUUGCAUUAAUAAAAAACCGUAUCAUCUGGAAUAAAGGAGAAGAUGAACCUGUUCUAGUAUGUGGGGGACAACCCAGACUCCAGUAUUGUAUGCAGUUUCAUAUUCAGAGAGCCACAAAACAAGACUGAUUUUAAGGAGGGUGACCGGGGGGGCGGGGGUGAAGAAACUUGGAAGCAUGGCUCAUGACAAACAUAGAGAACUGGAAUAGUUCACCAGAAGACACAAGGUGGCAUGACAACUCUGCUCCAAAGCCUGAAGGACUGUCCCAAGGAAGAAGACAAAUGCCAAGUCAUGCCCCAACAUAAGAGCAAAGGUCAGUGGGCUAAAGUUAAAAUAACAGAUUUUUAAAAUCUUGGUAUUUCAGAAAAAGGAAUUGUAUGAGAAUUACUGCAUAUGAAGUGGAGACCACAGGAGAUUGAGAAGUGGUAAGUUCUCCACAGGAGAAAUGCAAGCAGUGCCUCAGCGGCCAUUUAGCAGGGGUGUUCUCAAAAAUGAGGUAAAGCACUAGACUCAUGCUCCUUAAGACACCACUCACACUUGGCAGCACGUGAUUCUCUGUGCAAGUCAAAUUAGUCUGACUUCCAUUCUAAGCCUUCAGUCCUUGUCAUCCUUUUUCCCAGAUUGUCUCUACCAAGCCCUCCAGAAGCCCUUUGAGACCUGGUCUGGGAGGAACGUGUCUUUUGGGGCUCUCAGAGAGCCUCUCUGAGCUCUGGCUCUGUUCCGUCCACCACAGUGUCUGCCCAAUUAUGAUAUCCUCGUUCUCCCCACCUGAGAGCCACUGAGCACACUGGGCCAUCUAUCCAUCUCACUGUAAGUGCAGAAAAGAGAAAAGGCCUAAUCUCUUCCUAUCUCCUCUCCAUAGUUUGCAUGAGUAUCUGCUGCUUAUUCCCUCUCAAACUUCAACUCUCGACAGUCUUGCCUCCAGAAACCACUGACAAGCCACUGACCUGCCUCAGCAGCACCCAAGUCUGUCAGCCCUAGAAGUUGAUUGUGCACCCCAGACUAAGAAGAACUUGUGUUUCCAGCCUGUCUAAGAUGGUUCACUUCAUAUCACUUGAGCGUAUCACUCCCUCAUAUGCUACAGCAUGUGGUACCUUUAAAUGGCAAACUUUUCUAAAAAGGCAGAAAGCAAAAUGGAAUCAAUCCAGGAGAACUAAUCCCGGAAAAUCAGAAUCUUCCACAUGGGGGUGAUGAUAAACAGAUGCCUCUCAUCUCGACAAAUGAAAGGUCACCGACAGCCAGUGCAGAGUAAUUAUUAAACAACUUCUCCCAUUUGUUCAGGAUCAGUAGCGACCUCAUUACCUGGAUCCAAAGACAAUAUCUCUAAAUCCUGGGCAUGGAUCCAGAAAGGUCAUUAAUAACAGAAGAGUCCCCAAAUUUGUGGGAAAAGGAAACCAGUUCUAAUUACAGAAGCCAACAGUUCCACCCCAGCCCUUUACAUCAACAUUUUGCAAGUUAUUAACAACAAUAGGGAUCCCUCAGGCACCACUUACAGCCACUUGACCAACAGCAGCCAGGUUAACCAAGCCUUUCUCUGCAAACUGGAUGGGCCUUUGUAUGUCACCGGCAGGGAAUCAAGCCGACUUGAGGGUGGUUUUCUUAUUGUCGCUUCUCACAGCUUCAGGCCAGAGGCCAAGGACUGGAGCAGAAGCUCAGAUUCCUGGCCCUGUGCCCAGAUAACUGGACUUUAAGAGGAGUGAGGAAGGUGAGGGAUGAAAGACUACACCUUGGGGGCAGUGUACACUUCCUGGGUGAUGGUGCACCAACAUCUCACAAAUCCCCACUAGAGAACUUAUCCAGAUAAUCAGACACCACCUGUUUCACAAAAACCUAUUGAAAUGAAGCAGAAGAGAAGUAGGAGGAAGAAGAGGGAGGUGAAGAUUUAGGUCACCUUGUGGCAAAGGGCUGCCUUUAGUCCCAGCCUUGGCUCUCCAGGUCCCUGGAAUGAGAACAAGCCUACCCUGGGGGUUGGAUUAGGAGGGCAGCUGCUCUUUUUACACCACCUUGUUAACAUGUCAGUCAACAGGCACCUUUUGCUUCCUCAAACUGGCUGCCCCUGACUUCUGAACCAGGAGCCCCCUAGUCCCUAAAGAGAGGUUAGAUUUUGCCACCUAUCAGAGGAAAGACAAAAACCACAGCAAUCUCCUCUCCCUGUCUCCCCCGUUCUCCACUGCUAAAGCAGUAUAGCAUGGUAGUAAAACAUUUAAAGAGUUCAGGCUCCGGAGCCAGAGCCAGUGUAAAGCCUGUCGCUUACCACUAGAGGGCUUAGGCAAAUUUCCAUCAGUUUAUCACCCACAAAAUGGGCAUAACAAUUUAUGGUCUAAACAGUGACUCUGAGAGUGAGAGGGAGGUGCCCUCAGUAAUUACUCUAAGGCAACAGACACAAAUCAGAAGGAACAAACCAUGAUGCAUAGUUACUCUCUUGAGAAGUGUCCUGUGAAGAUCAAAUAAAAGAAUAUAUGUACAUUGUGUAUCACAAUGCCUGGUGCGUGGCACAGAGAAAUUGUGCCGCAUCAGCCAGGCACGGUGGUUCAUGCCUGUAAUCACAGCACUUUGGGAGGCCACAGUGGGUGGAUCACCUGAGGUCAGGAGUUCAAGACCAGCCUGGCCAACAUGGUGAAACCCCGUCUCUACUAAAAAUAUAAAAAUUAGCUGAGUGUGGUAGUGGGCACCUGUAGUCCCAGCUACUUUGAAGGCUGAGGCAGGAGAAUCACUUGAACCCUGGAGGUGGAGGUUGCAGUGAGCUGAGAUUAUACCGCUGCACUCCAGGCUGGAUGACAGAGCCAGACUCCAUCUCAAAAAAAAAAAAAAGAAAAAAGAAAAUCGUGCCGCAUUGACAUUAUUAUCCUGUCUUUCCAAACCCCUGGACUGUCAAAAGUGAAAUACCAGCCUAGAUGGAUUAUCCAGGGUGGCUUCGAUUUCCCAGACCCCAUCUCACUUCCUUUAAGGCCCUUCGCCAUCCUCACUUCACACUGGGUAGUGCUGGCAGGAUGUGAGUCACGGGGCACAUGGGAUGGCUACCACCGUGUAGUGUUGUAAAAGCAGAACCGUUUUGGGUCGGUCAUGGGGUGUCCGUGGGAAACAGGCUGACGUUCCCCAUGGUGAGUUUGAAGGAUCAUCUCACAAUCUGUUUCAGGGUUAGUUCAGUGAGGGAUCUGAUGAAUCCGAUUAAACGCUAAACAUUCCAUUUCCACGUCACUCAGCUCCGUGCUUGAGGGGCACCAGGCUCUGUGCAGGGCGGCCCCAAAUGUGCCUGAUAAUUAAAACAAUCUCUGCCCUGGCUGAUUGCUCUCCCCAUUACUCUCUCCCAUUACUGGAGAAGCAAACAAUAAAUAAUUUAAUAACCCAGGUUGAGUAGACUCUGGUUCCAAAACAAAGUGUUUUAAUUCUCCAGUGUGCCUGCUUUCAGCAUUACUGUAAUUCCAUUUCCCUUCACUUGACUGGGCCUUUUGCUGCUUUUUAGGCUUCUCGUAUUUCUCCCCAAGUUUUCCCCAUGGGGUCCUGACAGCUGCAUUAUAGCAGGGCUGGGCAGCAAGCAUGACAUCACUCACUACUCAAGUCAGCAGCAGCAGCAGCACAGUGCCAUGUACUCAUUAACUGAGCAAUCUGCCCUGCGUCUCGAUGGCGAUGGAAAUCUGUCCAUGUGGCUGAUGGCAGGGCUGCUGCCCUGGGCACCUGGUCCCUGCCCUUUUCCCUCCAUCUUUCUCUUUCUCCUGUCUGCUUUUCCUGCAAUCUUCCCAGCCCUGGUUAUGGGGAAAGGCCUGGAAAGGGAGAAAGGCACUGGAGAGAGUGGUGGGAAAUGGCCCCUAUCCCUCGCCCUGCAUAGUUGGGUCUGCCUCCUCAUCGUACUCUCUUCCUGGCACUGAAGGCAAGAUCACCCUGACUCCCAGCUUUGGCUGAGGCCUAGGAGAACCCAAACCCCAUAGAGAGAUCAGAUUCUGCUACCUUUCAAAAGAGAGCCAGAACAGCAAAUUCUCGCUCUGGCCAAGAGAAAUCUCCCUGCAUGGCCCUUCCACUGCCUGCCCCCAUCUUCAGUCCUUCCACCUUUCUAAGCAGUAGCAGAAUAUGCUGAUGGGAGAGUCUGGUGCCCUUGCCUGAAGCUGAGGGGAGCCAGGGAGCAGCAGCUGCAGGGGAGGAGCAGGGGUAAAAGGAAACGCACCAAUGGAGCUUUCGUUUAAAUAAAGAGCAGGGAAGCAUUGUGCUCCAUUGAUUACAAUUUUUUUUUCUGAAUGUUGUGACAUUUGCAGGAAGGCUAAUUUAUUCAAGCAUGGAAAUCUUUAAAAACUUAAUUAAGUUAUUUCUGUGAUUUUCCAUGCCUUAUUGUUUCGAGUUCACAUUUACUUUCAUCCUUG
ensembl:lncRNA